GACGAACGCUGGCGGCGUGCCUAAUACAUGCAAGUCGAACGAACCGCGACUAAGUGCUUGCACUAAGUCAAGGUGAGUGGCGAACGGGUGAGUAACACGUGGGUAACCUACCUCAUAGUGGGGGAUAACAGUCGGAAACGACUGCUAAUACCGCAUAGGACAUAGGAUCACAUGAUCCAGUGAGGAAAGGUGGCGCAAGCUAUCGCUAAGAGAUGGACCCGCGGUGCAUUAGCUAGUUGGUAGGGUAAAGGCCUACCAAGGCGAUGAUGCAUAGCCGACCUGAGAGGGUGAUCGGCCACAUUGGGACUGAGACACGGCCCAAACUCCUACGGAAGGCAGCAGUAGGGAAUCUUCCGCAAUGGACGCAAGUCUGACGGAGCAACGCCGCGUGAGUGAAGAAGGUCUUCGGAUCGUAAAGCUCUGUUGUUAGAGAAGAACAGCGCAUAGAGUAACUGCUAUGCGUGUGACGGUAUCUAACCAGAAAGCCACGGCUAACUACGUG
rnacentral:rRNA from 1 species